GGCUACCGCUAUUGGAGUUCGACUAAGCCAUGCGAGUCCAGAGCUUUCGGAGCUCGGCGUACCGCUCAGUAACACGUGGGUAACCUAACCUAUGCAGGGGAAUAACCUCGGGAAACUGAGAAUAAUGCCCCAUAGUCCACUACGCCUGGAACGGUGAGUGGAUAAAAGCUCAGGCGGCAUAGGAUGGGCCUGCGGCGUAUCAGGUUGUAGGGGGUGUAAAGUACCCUCUAGUCCUCUACGCGUACGGGUGUUGGGAGACAUAGCCCGGAGAUGGGUUCUGAGACACGAAUCCAGACCCUACGGGGUGCAGCAGGCGCGAAAACUUGGCAAUGCGAGCAAUCGUGACCAGGGAACUCCAAGUGGCUGGGGUAAGACCCAGUCUUUUCAGAACUCUUCAAAGGUUUUAGAAUAAGGGGUGGGUAAGGACGGUGCCAGCCGCCGCGGUAAUACCGGCGCCUCAAGUGGUAGUCGCUUUUAUUGGGCCUAAAACGUCCGUAGCCGGUUUGGUACAUUCGUGGGUAAAUCAACUCGCUCAACGAGUUGAAUUCUGCGAGGACGGCCAGACUUGGGACCGGGAGAGGUGUGGGGUACUCUCAGGGUAGGGGUAAAAUCCUGUCAUCCUGAGAGGACCACCUGUUGCGAAGGCGCCACGCUAGAACGGAUCCGACGGUCAGGGACGAAGCCUAGGGGCACGAACCGGAUUAGAUACCCGGGUAGUCCUAGGUGUAAACGCUGUGGACUUGAUGUUGGAGGAGCUCCGAGCUCUUUCAGUGUCGAAGCGAAGGUGAUAAGUCCACUGCCUGGGAAGUACGGUCGCAAGGCUGAAACUUAAAGGAAUUGGCGGGGGAGCACCGCAACCUGAGGAUUGUGCGGUUU
rnacentral:rRNA from 1 species